UUGCACGCUGGCGGAAUGCUUUACACAUGCAAGUCGAGCGGCAGCGCGGCCUUCGGGCUGGCGGCGAGCGGCGAACGGGUGAGUAAUGCAUCGGAACAUGCCCAGUCGUGGGGGAUAACACUUCGAAAGAAGUGCUAAUACCGCAUACGUCCUGAGGGGGAAAGCGGGGGAUCGCAAGACCUCGCGCGAUUGGAGUGGCCGAUGUCAGAUUAGCUAGUUGGUGGGGUAAAGGCCUACCAAGGCGACGAUCUGUAGCUGGUCUGAGAGGAUGAUCAGCCACACUGGGACUGAGACACGGCCCAGACUCCUACGGGAGGCAGCAGUGGGGAAUUUUGGACAAUGGGGGCAACCCUGAUCCAGCCAUUCCGCGUGAGUGAAGAAGGCCUUCGGGUUGUAAAGCUCUUUCGGCAGGAACGAAACGGUGGGCUCUAACAUAGUCCGCUAAUGACGGUACCUGAAGAAGAAGCACCGGCUAACUACGUG
rnacentral:rRNA from 1 species